rnacentral:rRNA from 1 species
GACGAACGCUGGCGGCGUGCUUAACACAUGCAAGUCGAACGGAAAGGCCCUGCGUUUGUGGGGUGCUCGAGUGGCGAACGGGUGAGUGACACGUGAGUAACCUGUCCUUGACAUUGUGAUAACUUCAGGAGACUGGGGCUAAUACAGGGUAGGAUCUCCUGCUGCAUGGUGUGGGUUGGAGAGAGUCGGCGGUUGGGGAUGGACUCGCGGCUUAUGAGCUGGUUUGUGGGGUAGUGGUUUACCAAGGCUUUGACGGGUAGCCGGCCUGAGAGGGUGACCGGCCACAUUGGGACUGAGAUACGGCCCAGACUCCUACGGGAGGCAGCAGUGGGGAAUAUUGCACAAUGGGCGGAAGCCUGAUGCAGCAACGCCGCGUGCGGGAUGACGGCCUUCGGGUUGUAAACCGCUUUCGCCUGUGACGAAGCGUGAGUGACGGUAAUGGGUAAAGAAGCACCGGCUAACUACGUG